rnacentral:rRNA from 1 species
UUUUUGAUUAUUAGUUAUAUUCACUUUUCUCUUCUUUUAAAAAGCGUUAUAUGGUUUACUUUGUAGGCUGGUUCAUUAAAUAAAUAUUGUCUAACAUUGAUAUAGAUAGAUAGGAGGAAGAGCUGGUGAAUGAACUUCUCUAAUAAAAAAGUGCUGGGAUUCUAUUAUAGGUUAAAUCUAAGUGUAAUUUUGAUGGUGAAAUAACUAAAUUAAUCCCUAGAAUUAAUCUAAUAAAAUUUAUAUCGAACACAAAGAUUAGAUACCUUUUUAUUAUAAAUAUAACCAAACUAGUUAUAAAUUACAACAUAUGGCGGUAAACUAUAUUUAGAGAAACUUGCAGUUAAUAGAUACACCUCGUUUAAUUUAACUUAGACUCAUUUAGUUUGUAUACCGUCAUUUUACUUUUUUAAAAACAAAAUAUAAAUUAUUAAAGAGUAUUAUUAGAUUAAGGUGCAGCUUAUGUUUAAGUUCUUAGUAAGUUGCUGUUAUUAAAAUUGAAGGAGUAAGUAGGGAUGGCUUACCGAAUACGGAUUUAAAAGUAAACUAUAAUUAAAUUAUUAUUCUUGAAUAAGCAGAGUUUAUGUACAUAUUGCCCGUCAUUUUCAUAAGUGUUGAAAGAAGUCGUAACAAAGUAGAUUUAUCUAAAGAUGAAUCUAUAUUC